ensembl:snRNA U6 U6 spliceosomal RNA
GUGCUUGCUUUGACAGCAGAUGUUAUUAAAAUUGGGAAGAUAGAAGAGUAGCAUGGCUGCUUUGCAAGAAUGACAUGAAAACUGAUGAGGUUCCAUAUUUUUUA